GGUGGCCCAUGGCGGCGGGGGCUGGGGUGCCCGGGGCUGCCGGCAGCGGAGAGCGGCGGAACUCGGGCUCAGCCUCCUGCGCCCACUCGCACCCGGAGYGGCCCCGUGUCCGGAGCGGGCCCCGUGCGGCAGUGCCGAGGCCUGGCCCGUCCGCGCUGUGUCCGUGCUCCACAUGUCCCGUGCCGGAGCCGCCGCCGCGAUUCUCGGGGCCGUGAGGAGGCGAUGCCCGGGGCCGUGAGGAGGCGAUGCCCGGGGCCGUGAGGAGGCGAUGCCCGGGGCCGUGAGGAGGCGAUGCCCGGGGCCGUGAGGAGGCGCCGCCGCUCGCAGCCCCGUGCCCGGGCCCAGGCCCUCGGGUCCCUUUGUUCCUGGGAGGAAGGUUCCAGCACUAGGUAGUUCUGUCGCUGCCUUAGCUGUCUGGUACCAUGCCUGGUGAUGACCAUGGGGUCAUUCUCCU